rnacentral:lncRNA from 1 species
UCAUUUCAGUGCUCAAGAAAAUGAGUCAGAGGGACACGACUGAGAUGAUGGAAGUCCGCAGGAUGUCAGAAAGUACAUGGACUCCUCCUAACUGGAGAAGCAGGGUUUCACCUAUGACCAGACAUUCAAAAGAUUUGCAGACAUCGAGGCCAAGGUUCCACUCUCAACCAGACCUACUCAGGGGAAGGCAGAGAAGAUGCCACAGUUGCUCAAGAAGGACUCCAGGGAGGGUAAGCCUCUGUAGGGCAGCAGUGCCUGCUGUAUGGUGGAG